rnacentral:ncRNA from 1 species
AUUGACUCAAAGGGGUGCCUCAAUUGAAUUACUUUACGUAUUCUUUUGUUGCUGAGAUUAUACUCUUAUUAGCUGACCAGGAUAAUGCCUGCGUAGCGAUUGAGCGAAUGAUAUUG